rnacentral:misc_RNA from 1 species
GCAUCACUAGACUCAUCUUCAUCAGAAAACUCAUUUUCUUCAUCCAUGGAUACCUUGAGACGGUUCUUGUUGCUUUCCAAAAACUUAGAAAACUCUGGAUCCUUUUCUUUCAACCUAUCCAAUUUUUUAAUUUUCUUCUCAAGUUCUAUAUGGAUUUCUCUGUUCUGAACUGAUAAAGCUCCUUCGUUAUUGUUGUCUUCUAGAUAACUCGCACUUUCAGUUUCACCCAUAUCUGCACAACUUCCCUCCUAAUCACUUAACCAUAUCAUCAAUGUUAGAAAGCCCAGAGGAACCAAAUCAAAUUAAAUGAAAAUUGUUGGACAUAACAUAUUUCAAAACCUCUGAUAGAUAUCCAUCACUGUCUAAAUCAUCUCCAACUGAAUCAAAGUCAUCUUCACUAAAUAUGGCAUCAAGGGAAAUUUCUUUAAUAUCUUCAAUUUCAAGGUCUCUGAGGGGGAAAAAAGAUAUUUAGAGAAUUUGUUCAGGAUAAAUAAAAAUGCAAACAUAAAAAUGAUACCCUAGUAAUCCAGAUUGAAUGUAAUGCAUAGUACUGCUCACAAAACCAUUUAACCAUAUAAACCAAAACAUAAAGGAAGAGGAAAAUACAAGCAAUAUCAUUACUACAAAACAGGGUUCAAAGUAAAACUCGUAAUAUAAAAUCGACAAAUGUGAUGAUCCUCUCAUGGUCAAACAAUGCACCAGUUGCAUUAAUUUCACCAUUUACCUUCCAUCAUGCAGCUGUGUUCUGUCUCCUUCUGGGUCUUCAGCUUCACGCAGCUCAUCCUUCUUAGCAACUUUCUUUUUGAACAUAGAUUUGAGCUUUCUCUUUCUUUUCAGCACAGACUGAAGAUUCUUCUUAGCAAAUUUCCUCGCUUUCUUCCCAAGUUUUCCCAUUUCCUCUGCUUAGUCCUGAAUUUGUUACUUUUUGGGUUUUGGUUUUAAGACAGGAGGCAACGUCCAGAAACAAGAAUUUGAAGAUUUUACAGGGGCCGUCAGUAGCAGGCUAAAACCCCGAUUAGGGUUUAAGGGAGAAAAAAACCCGUUCUGCGUAGCUGUGAAACACAGGCAGUCGGGC